AAGUACUUUUCCAACCUCAUCACUUUCAACACAUUUAAAGAUGAUGCAUUCUUCGAGCCUUUUUGUGAUCGUCCAUCUUGCCUCUCAAAGCCAUUAUGGUAGAGUAGAUCUCAAGGCAACAAAUUAUGAUCCUACAAACGCCCGGAAUCAAGUAUAAUUAUGAUUCUACUGACAUCUAGAUUGGAAAGGCUUUUAAGAGAAAGGGAACUAAGAAAAUCCAGCAAGUUGAUCCACAAAUGAAAGCAUAAGAGACGGCUACGGUGACUUAGACGUUUUUCAAAAAGGAAUUGAACAGUACUCCAUUUAUAUCAAUCUAUAGGACUUAUUUUUCAUUUAAUUUGUCCAAAAAAAGAAUAGCUAUUCCAAGAACCAAAAAAAAGAAGAA